rnacentral:misc_RNA from 1 species
UGCCUCCCUUCGGGAGCCAAUGCUCUUGAUGGCACGACAUGCUGCCGGCAUUCUCGGGUACGGAGAUCUGAUGGAUUUCGCCUAGGUCUUCGUCGGCCUUUGCWUUCGUAACGUUUCGAAGCACCCUCGCUUCUGCUCGCAUGACCCUCGUGCCCCUCCGAGAGCUCACGGAGCCUCUUCGUUCGGUGUUCUUCUCGGUUGAGCCAUCGAGGUCUUCGAAGGAAUGC